AUUGAACGCUGGCGGCAGGCCUAACACAUGCAAGUCGAGCGGAUGAAGGGAGCUUGCUCCUGGAUUCAGCGGCGGACGGGUGAGUAAUGCCUAGGAAUCUGCCUGGUAGUGGGGGAUAACGUCCGGAAACGGGCGCUAAUACCGCAUACGUCCUGCGGGAGAAAGUGGGGGAUCUUCGGACCUCACGCUAUCAGAUGAGCCUAGGUCGGAUUAGCUAGUUGGUGGGGUAAAGGCCUACCAAGGCGACGAUCCGUAACUGGUCUGAGAGGAUGAUCAGUCACACUGGAACUGAGACACGGUCCAGACUCCUACGGGAGGCAGCAGUGGGGAAUAUUGGACAGAGGGCGAAAGCAUGAUACAGCCAUGCCGAGUGUGUGAAGAAGGUCUUCGGAUUGUAAAGAACUUUAAGUUGGGAGGAAGGGCAGUAAGUUAAUACCUUGCUGUUUUGACGUUAACAACAGAAGAAGCACCGGCUAACUUCGUG
rnacentral:rRNA from 1 species